UUGAAAUUAUUAAAAACCGAAAUAACCGAAAACCGAUUUAACCGAAUACAUUGCAUUUUGUUUCUAGGUAAAUAUGUCACUGCCACAUGUAUUAGCUUUGGGUCCCGUUCAUUUUCAUUUCAUCAAUAAAUCAGCCCAAAAAACUACACCGUUUAAAAGCCAUAUAUAUACAUCCUUAUAAAUUUUAAAACCCUAAUCUCAUUUCUUUUUUCUCUCACUCAUUCAGCCUCUUACUGCUCCCUCCCUUUGUUCAUUUUCUUCUUACUUCUCAAUCAUACAAAUUCUAGAUAUCUCAUUGAUUUGUUCAAUCUCUCUACAAAACUUUUCAAUAUAAUAUUUUAUUUGAUCAAAAAAAAUUCUCUGAGGAUUAGCGUUGUGAUUAGAGGAGAAAGCUACCAUUUUCACUGCUCGAAUCUAUCUAUAACUCCUCACAAAAUCAAGCUUCUGGAGAUCCUCUCUCUUGCUGUUCUUCUUUUCACUUAUUUCUUUUUAUUCACUUCUUUAUGUUAAUUAGUUUUUUGGUAUUAUUAGUUUUAAUUUAAAUUUUUUUGAUGUAUUAUGAUUUGUAAUAUUCAUGUAAUAAUAUGGAAUUUUCUGUUUA